CCUACGGGAGGCAGCAGUGAGGAAUAUUGGUCAAUGGGCGCGAGCCUGAACCAGCCAAGUAGCGUGAAGGAUGACUGCCCUACGGGUUGUAAACUUCUUUUAUAAAGGAAUAAAGUGAGGCACGUGUGCCUUUUUGUAUGUACUUUAUGAAUAAGGAUCGGCUAACUCCGUGCCAGCAGCCGCGGUAAUACGGAGGAUCCGAGCGUUAUCCGGAUUUAUUGGGUUUAAAGGGAGCGUAGAUGGGUUGUUAAGUCAGUUGUGAAAGUUUGGGGCUCAACCGUAAAAUUGCAAUUGAUACUGGCAGCCUUGAGAACAGUUGAUGUAGGCGGAAUGUGUGGUGUAGCGGUGAAAUGCUUAGAUAUCACGAAGAACUCCGAUUGCGAAGGCAGCUUACUAAACUGCCACUGACAUUGAUGCUCGAAAGUGUGGGUAUCAAACAGGAUUAGAUACCCUAGUAGUC
rnacentral:rRNA from 1 species